AAUUCUUUUUGACAAAAAGGUUGCUUUCCCCGACUUGGAGAAGUUGCAUAUUAGGUUCUUUCCUAAGUUGAAAAUGAUAUGGCGUGAUCAUAUCCAAGCAAAUUCAUUCUGCAAGUUAGAAUUACUGGAGGUAGUAGCUUGCGAAGAGUUACUGCAAAUCUUUCCCUCCAACAUUCUGAGAGGAUUCCAGAAAUUAGAAUGUCUAUGUGUAGCGAAUUGUGGUUCACUAAAAGAGGUGUUUGAUCUUCAACUGUCGACAAACGUAAAAGAGAUGCAUGUUGAAGCGGCAGCCACUAAAUUGAGGAUUUUGAAAUUAAUGAACCUCCCAGUUAUGAAGCAUGUAUGGAAUGAGGAUUCUCCAAAAAUUCUCUUGUUUGCUAACCUAAGUUCAGUGGAUGUUUCCACAUGUCCUAGUCUGAAUAGUCUCUUUCCACCUUCAAUUGCAAGAAAUCUUCCACAACUUGAAAGGAUUUCUAUUGUUGAUUGUGGGUUGGAGGAAAUUGUUUCAAAUGAGGAAGGAUUAGAAGCAACUCCUAAGUUUGUGUUUCAUCAAUUGACGUCCUUGAAACUUUGGAGAUUACAAAAAUUAAAGAGCUUCUACCCUGGAAUACAUGCUUUUGAAUGUCCCAUACUGAAGUGCUUGAGAGUGGGUCACUGUGACAAUUUUAAGAUUUUUGCUUCUCAAUUUCAGGAGUUGCAAGAAACGCAAGUGGAGAUUCAACCUUUAAGAAAGGUUUUUUCCAACUUGGAGGAAUUAACAUUAAGCAGCAAGGAGAUCACAAUGAUAUGGCAAGGCCAGUUUGAAGACCGCUUUGACAAACUAAAAGUUCUUGGCCUAUAUUGCUUUCAUGAUGCUUCAACAGAUUUCCCAUUCAAUCUCCUUCAAAAAUUCCCAAACACGGAAAAACUUCAUGUGGUAUGCUCUGAUUUUAAUGAGAUAUUCCCAUAUGGUGUUGUUGGUGAAGAGAUGCAUGCAAGGACUUUUGCACGGAUACGAUACUUAAGACUGGAUGUCUUUCCCAAAAUGAAGCAUAUAUGGAAUCCUGAAUAUCGACAUGUCCAAGUUCUUCAAAAUCUUGAGUCCCUGGAAAUAUGGAAUUGCAACAGUUUGGUUACCUUGGCGCCACAUUCUGCAUCUUUCCAAAAUCUUACUACUCUAGAUGUGUGGCGGUGUGAAAUAUUAGUAAACAUAAUAACAUCCUGCACAGCUAAAGGGAUGGUGAACCUUACCAAAAUGAGUGUAAGAGAAUGCAAUAAGGUAACGGAAAUUGUAGUGAAUGGUGGAGAUGAAGAUCAACAACAAAGUGAGAUCAUUUUCGGUAAAUUGAAAAGUAUAAGGCUUCAUUGUUUAGAAAGCCUCACCAGCUUCUGCUCAGUGGCAAAUUGCACCAUCAAAUUCCUAUCUUUGGUAGAAUUGUCUAUUAAACAUUGUCACAAGUUGAGUACUUUUGCUCAGGGAGUUGUAAGCGCACCAAGGCUACCACAAGCAUUUGUAAAGGAAGGAGAAAGAGGUAAAAUGAUUUGGAAGAAGGAUAUUAACAACACAAUAAAUCACUUGCAUAGAGAAAGGGUACGUAUCCUUUCAUCAAAUUUGUUUUUCUUUAUGAACUUUUAAAUUCUUAUUUGUUUGGCAAGUAGCCAAAAACAAUGCAACCAAUACGUUCUUACAUCUUCAGUUCUUCACUCCAACUCUUUCGAAUAAAAAGUAAUGAGUAUAUUAUCCAAUAGGCUUUCUGAUAUAUAAAUGAUAAUAUUUUCCUCUUAGAAAUUGAAUUUAAUUGGUUUUGCUUAGAUUUUUCUCAUGCGGGACACCGUUCUCUAUGUAUUUUGUGCUAUGUAAUUGCAGAUAUGCUCAGUUUACUGUUAAAAAAUGAUGCUAUAUACUGGGGGGCUUCAUGAAGCGGAGGUGAGCUGCAAUUUGACUGUUUCACGUAUCUCUCGACUUACGUGCAUUGAGUUUUAUCCAUCGAUGGUGAUGAGAUAAUUCAAAUAGCUGUAAUUAGUGGUUUAAAGACACUCACUAAAAGAAUCAUAUAAAAGUUAACCAUCUUAGUGGUUUUCAACUCUUAUAUUUCUUCUAUGAAUAAUGAUGCUACUGUCACUUCCAACAUAGUUUGUUCUUUAUAAUUGCAGAAUGCUCAGCUUUCUGAACCAAAAUGAUGCAUGCCAUUGCCAUUGGACGCCCUCUAAUUGCAGGCUCGCAGCCAGCAUGCUGUUUCAUGCACAGAUUUUGGGAGACACAUCCGAUUCACAUUAUCUCUCUGGCUUGCUAGGUUUUUCCUUCACAAAAAAUUCACUUCAGCUGUAAUUUUUAUAUUCUUGUUGUGCACUGUGAUAAUAUAUGACAACUAAUAUAGACAAAAGAUGGCAGAAGACAAAUGUUUUGGAUCCAAUACUUUAAUUAAUUUAUUAUAUUAUAUCUUAGGCUUCACUUGACAUUGAAGUGUCAUUGUAAAUGUUAUUAAAAAAUUAGUUUAAUAAGACUCUUGGUAAGGGC
rnacentral:misc_RNA from 1 species